rnacentral:tRNA from 1 species
ACCUGGCUGGCUCAGUCAGUAGAGCAUGUGACUUUCGAUCUUGGGGUUCUGAGUUCAAGCCCCACGUUGGGUG